GGAGCGCUAUAGCUCAGUGGUAGGAGAGCAUCUAUUUUGCACGCAGAAGGUGCCAGAUCAAAUCCCUGGCGUCUCCA